UACGGAGGGGGGCGAGCGUUGUUCGGAAUUAUUGGGCGUAAAGGGUGCGUAGGCGGUUUGGUAAGUCUUAUGUGAAAUCUACAGGCUCAACUUUGUAGUCUGCAUGAGAAACUGCCGGGCUUUGAGUAUGGGGAGAGGUGAGUGGAAUUCCCUGGUGUAGCGGUGAAAUGCGUAGAUAUCAGGAGGAACACCUGUGGCGAAAGCGGCUCACUGGACCAUAACUGACGCUGAUGCACGAAAGCUAGGGGGAGCAAACAGG
rnacentral:rRNA from 1 species